rnacentral:rRNA from 1 species
CAGGCGGUCUGUCAAGUCAGAUGUGAAAUCCCCGGGCUUAACCUGGGAACUGCAUUUGAAACUGGCAGGCUAGAGUCUUGUAGAGGGGGGUAGAAUUCCAGGUGUAGCGGUGAAAUGCGUAGAGAUCUGGAGGAAUACCGGUGGCGAAGGCGGCCCCCUGGACAAAGACUGACGCUCAGGUGCGAAAGCGUGGGGAGCAAACAGGAUUAGAUACCCUGGUAGUCCACGCUGUAAACGAUGUCGACUUG